rnacentral:rRNA from 1 species
AACGAACGCUGGCGGCAUGCCUAACACAUGCAAGUCGAACGAUGCCUUCGGGCAUAGUGGCGCACGGGUGCGUAACGCGUGGGAAUCUGCCCUUGGCUUCGGAAUAACAGUUAGAAAUGACUGCUAAUACCGGAUGAUGUCCCCCUGAGAGAUCUUGGGGACCAAAGAUUUAACGGCCAGGGAUGAGCCCGCGUAGGAUUAGGUAGUUGGUGGGGUAAAGGCCUACCAAGCCGACGAUCCUUAGCUGGUCUGAGAGGAUGAUCAGCCACACUGGGACUGAGACACGGCCCAGACUCCUACGGGAGGCAGCAGUGGGGAAUAUUGGACAAUGGGGGGAACCCUGAUCCAGCAAUGCCGCGUGAGUGAUGAAGGCCUUAGGGUUGUAAAGCUCUUUUACCAGGGAUGAUAAUGACAGUACCUGGAGAAUAAGCUCCGGCUAACUCCGUG